AGAGGUGGCAAGCGUUGUUCGGAAUUACUGGGCGUAAAGGGCGAGUAGGUGGCCAUCUAAGUCAGACGUGAAAUCCCCCGGCUUAACCUGGGAACUGCGUCUGAUACUGGACGGCUUGAGUAUGGGAGAGGAACGUAGAAUUCCAGGUGUAGCGGUGAAAUGCGUAGAUAUCUGGAGGAAUACCGGUGGCGAAGGCGGCGUUCUGGACCAUUACUGACACUGAAUCGCGAAAGCUAGGGGAGCAAACGGGAUUAGAUACCCCGGUAGUCCUAGCCCUAAACGAUGAAUGCUUGGUGUGGCGGGUAUCGAUCCCUGCCGUGCCGAAGCUAACGCAUUAAGCAUUCCGCCUGGGGAGUACGGUCGCAAGGCUG
rnacentral:rRNA from 1 species